rnacentral:rRNA from 1 species
GACGAACGCUGGCGGCGUGCUUAACACAUGCAAGUCGAACGAAGAGCGAUGGAAGCUUGCUUCUAUCAAUCUUAGUGGCGAACGGGUGGGUAACGCGUAAUCAACCUGCCCUUCAGAGGGGGACAACAGUUGGAAACGACUGCUAAUACCGCAUACGAUCUAAUCUCGGCAUCGAGGAUAGAUGAAAGGUGGCCUCUACAUGUAAGCUAUCACUGAAGGAGGGGAUUGCGUCUGAUUAGCUAGUUGGAGGGGUAACGGCCCACCAAGGCGAUGAUCAGUAGCCGGUCUGAGAGGAUGAACGGCCACAUUGGGACUGAGACACGGCCCAGACUCCUACGGGAGGCAGCAGUGGGGAAUCUUCCGCAAUGGACGAAAGUCUGACGGAGCAACGCCGCGUGAGUGAUGACGGCCUUCGGGUUGUAAAGCUCUGUUAAUCGGGACGAAAGGCCUUCUUGCGAAUAGUGAGAAGGAUUGACGGUACCGGAAUAGAAAGCCACGGCUAACUACGU